rnacentral:rRNA from 1 species
ACGGCAGCACGGGUGCUUGCACCUGGUGGCGAGUGGCGAACGGGUGAGUAAUGUAUCGGAACGUAUCCGGAAGUGGGGGAUAGCCCGGCGAAAGCCGGAUUAAUACCGCAUAUGCCCUGAGGGGGAAAGUGGGGGACCGCAAGGCCUCAUGCUUUCGGAGUGGCCGAUAUCGGAUUAGCUAGUAGGUUAGGUAAAGGCUGACCUAGGCGACGAUCCGUAGCGGGUCUGAGAGGAUGAUCCGCCACACUGGGACUGAGACACGGCCCAGACUCCUACGGGAGGCAGCAGUGGGGAAUUUUGGACAAUGGGGGCAACCCUGAUCCAGCCAUGCCGCGUGAGUGAAGAAGGCCUUCGGGUUGCAAAGCUCUUUCGGACGGAAAGAAAUUGCCAUCUCUAACAUAGGUGGUGGAUGACGGUACCGUAAGAAGAAGCACCGGCUAACUACGUGCCAGCAGCCGCGGUAAUACGUAGGGUGCGAGCGUUAAUCGGAAUUACUGGGCGUAAAGCGUGCGCAGGCGGUUUUGUAAGACAGGCGUGAAAUCCCCGGGCUUAACCUGGGAACUGCGCUUGUGACUGCAAGGCUAGAGUGCGGCAGAGGGGGGUAGAAUUCCACGUGUAGCAGUGAAAUGCGUAGAGAUGUGGAGGAAUACCGAUGGCGAAUGCAGCCCCUCUGGGUCGACACUGACGCUCAUGCACGAAAGCGUGGGGAGCAAACAG